CCUACGGGAGGCAGCAGUGGGGAAUUUUGGACAAUGGGCGCAAGCCUGAUCCAGCAAUGCCGCGUGAGUGAAGAAGGCCUUCGGGUUGUAAAGCUCUUUUGUCAGGGAAGAAACGGUGGGGGCUAAUAUCUCUUGCUAAUGACGGUACCUGAAGAAUAAGCACCGGCUAACUACGUGCCAGCAGCCGCGGUAAUACGUAGGGUGCAAGCGUUAAUCGGAAUUACUGGGCGUAAAGCGUGCGCAGGCGGUUUUGUAAGUUUGUCGUGAAAUCCCCGGGCUCAACCUGGGAAUGGCGAUGAAGACUGCAAGGCUAGAAUCUGGCAGAGGGGGGUAGAAUUCCACGUGUAGCAGUGAAAUGCGUAGAGAUGUGGAGGAACACCGAUGGCGAAGGCAGCCCCCUGGGUCAAGAUUGACGCUCAUGCACGAAAGCGUGGGGAGCAAACAGGAUUAGAUACCCUGGUAGUCCACGCCCUAAACGAUGUCUACUAGUUGUCGGGUUUUAAUUAACUUGGUAACGCAGCUAACGCGUGAAGUAGACCGCCUGGGGAGUACGGUCGCAAGAUUAAAACUCAAAGGAUUGACGG
rnacentral:rRNA from 1 species